ACUAAUUGUGCAAUUAAUUUUAUUUGGUUGUGAUUAAAUAUUUGUUUUAUUCAAUUAAAAUUUUUAGGUGAAAUUUAAAUUUGAAAAUUAAAUUUAAUAAAUUGAGGUCAAUAAAUUUAUUAUUAAACUAGGAUUAGAUACCCUAUUAUUGUAAACAUAAUUAAAAUUCUUUAUGAAUAAUAGUUAAUUUCUUAAAAGUAAAAAGAAUUGGCGGUAUUUUAAUCCUUUUAGAGGAACCUGUUUUUUAAUUGAUAAUCCACGCUUAAAUUUACUUACUAUAUGUGUUUACAUAUCGUUGUUUAAAAUAUACUUAUAGGAUAUAUUUAAUAGUUAUUUAAUUAAUUAAUUCAGAUCAAGGUGUAGCUUUAGUAAGGAAAAAUGGGUUACAUUAAUUUUAAUUAUGAAUUUGAAUUUAAAAAUUUAAUGAAUUUGGAUUUAAAAGUAAAUAUAAAACUAUUUUUAUAUUGAUUUAGGUUCUAAAAU
rnacentral:rRNA from 1 species